CACCCGUACCGUAAGUGCAUGAUUACACGCGCAAAGGAAAAAAAAGUGCGGCUGGCUUGACCGUGUAUUUUCAAAGCGCGGCUGGCUUGACCGCAGUCAGUCGUGGAUUGUGUGGCUUCUCCAGUUAUCUACGAAGAAGCAAAUGGGCCAUCUACAUCGAACACAACACCAUCUCAGAGGGGCCGGGGCCGUGGUCGCAGCUGUAGCUGUAUAAUAAGUACAUGGGGGGACUUGACACCUCCAACAAGAUGCUCAGAACAAAGUCGGUGCCCCAUAAAACAAGUCGUAUGUGACCAUUUUCCAGCAUUUCCUAGAUAUUGCAGUGACCAACAGCUUCAUUUUACACAAAGAGCUGUGUGCCAUCCACCAUGAUAAGCUCAUGACACGGCAAAACAUUCAGGAGCUGCUAGCUGCUCCGCUCACAGAUGUUCCCCUGGAUGGCCGGCUGAGAGAGAGAUGCGAUCAUCUGCCUGUUCCUGUGAGUGAUACUCAAGACCUUUCACAAAGUUGCAUACGAUGCAAAAGGAGCACCCCAUGGACAUGCCAGGAAUGUGAUGUGGGACUAUGCUUGCAGUCCUGUAGACAGGAACUGCUUCAGAGAGCCCCACAUUUAAAUGACUGGAUUGAAGGAUCCAAAAACGCCUGGAGAACUGGAGUACCACAAAUGGCUCCUGAGUGAAAACCGUGCAAUCCAGUGUCUCAAAAAUACUUGUAUAUAUGUAUUAUAGUUCCUUUUUCAAGAUUGAGGCAUUAGAUUCUUUCGAUCAUGAGUUUUCAGAUUUUUUCUAAAUAAAAACCAGUACAAUUUC